rnacentral:rRNA from 1 species
AGAGUUUGAUCCUGGCUCAGGAUGAACGCUAGCGACAGGCUUAACACAUGCAAGUCGAGGGGCAGCGGGGGAUGCGUUCGCGCAUUCUGCCGGCGACUGGCGCACGGGUGAGUAACACGUAUGCAACCUGCCCCGUCCAGGGGGAUAAUCGGCGGAAACGCCGUCUAAUACCGCGUAUAUCGGUACCGGGCAUCCGGGAUUGAAGAAAGGGCCUUAGGGUCCGGGACGGGAUGGGCAUGCGGCGCAUUAGGAAGUUGGCGGUGUAACGGACCACCAAUCCGUCGAUGCGUAGGGGUUCUGAGAGGAAGGCCCCCCACACUGGUACUGAGACACGGACCAGACUCCUACGGGAGGCAGCAGUGAGGAAUAUUGGUCAAUGGGCGGGAGCCUGAACCAGCCAAGUCGCGUGAGGGAAGAAGGUACUGAGUAUUGUAAACCUCUUUUGCCAGGGGACAAAGGCGGCCACGGGUGGCCGUAAGAGGGUACCUGGAGAAAAAGCAUCGGCUAACUCCGUGCCAGCAGCCGCGGUAAUACGGAGGAUGCGAGCGUUAUCCGGAUUUAUUGGGUUUAAAGGGUGCGCAGGCGGCGUGUCAAGUCAGCGGUAAAAUGUCGGGGCUCAACCCCGGCCGGCCGUUGAAACUGGCGUGCUCGAGUUGGAGAGAAGUAUGCGGAAUUCGUGGUGUAGCGGUGAAAUGCAUAGAUAUCACGAAGAACCCCGAUUGCGAAGGCAGCAUACCGGCUCCACACUGACGCUGAGGCACGAAAGCGUGGGUAUCGAACAGGAUUAGAUACCCUGGUAGUCCACGCAGUAAACGAUGAAU